rnacentral:rRNA from 1 species
GGAUUCGAUUUAGCCAUGCAAGUCAGGGGUCUUCGGACACCGGCAAAACGCUCAGUAACACGUCGGUAAUCUGCCCUCUGGUCAGGGAUAAGCUCGGGAAACUGAGUCUAAUACCUGAUAUGAGAAAAAUACUGGAAUGUAUUUUCUUUUAAACUCGUGCCUAAGGAUGAGCCGGCGGUGGAUUAGGCUGUUGGUGGGGUAAUGGCCCACCAAACCGAAGAUCGGUACGGGCCAUGACAGUGGUAGCCCGGAGAAGGACCCUGAGAUACUGGUCCUAGCCCUACGGGGUGCAGCAGGCGCGAAACCUUUACAAUGCACGAAAGUGUGAUAAGGGGAUCCGAAGUGCUUAUACAUUUGCAUGGGCUUUUGCCAAAGCUAAAUCCUUUGGCGAAUAAGUGGUGGGAAAGACUGGUGCCAGCCGCCGCGGUAACACCAGCGCCACAAGUGGGAAUCAUGUUUAUUGGGCCUAAAGCGUCCGUAGCCGGUUUUGUAAAUUUCCUGUGAAAUCGUUAGACUUAACCUAACGGCAUGCAGGAAAGACUGUAUGACUAGGGACCGGGAGGAGUCAGAGGUAUGCUUGGGGGAGCAGUAAAAUGCUAUAAUCCCAAGUGGACCACCGGUGGCGAAGGCGUCUGACUAGAACGGCUCCGACGGUGAGGAACGAAAGCCAGGGGAGCGAUCCGGAUUAGAUACCCGAGUAGUCCUGGCCGUAAACGCUGCGAGCAAGGUGUUGCAUAUUCUUCGUGAAUAUGCAGUGUCGAAACGAAGGUGUUAAGCUCGCCGCCUGGGGAGUACGGUCGCAAGACUGAAACUUAAAGGAAUUGGCGGGGGAGCACUACAAGGGGUGCGGCGUGCGGUUUAAUUUAAUUCAACACAGAGAAUCUCACCAGGGGCGACGGCAGAAUGAAGGUCAGUCUAAAGGGCUUACCAGAUGAGCCGAGAGGUAGUGCAUGGCCGUCGUCAGCUCGUGCCGUAAGGUGUCCUGUUAAGUCAGGCAACGAGCGAGACCUGUACUCACAAUUGCCAGCAGCUUUAGGACUGGGCACAUUGUGAGAACUGCCCUCGAAAGGGGGAGGAAGGUGCAGGCUAUGGUAGGUCUGUAUGCUCCGAAUCUUCUGGGCUACACGCGCGCAACAAUGGUACGGACAAUGGGAUGCGACUCCGAAAGGAGAAGCCAAUCCGUGAAACCUUACCUUAGUUCAGAUCGAGGUUUGUAAUCAUCCUCAUGACGCUGGAAU